AGACCCGAAACCCGGUGAUCUAGCCAUGGGCAGGUUGAAGGUUGGGUAACACUAACUGGAGGACCGAACCGACUAAUGUUGAAAAAUUAGCGGAUGACCUGUGGCUGGGGGUGAAAGGCCAAUCAAACCGGGAGAUAGCUGGUUCUCCCCGAAAGCUAUUUAGGUAGCGCCUCGUGAAUUCAUCUCCGGGGGUAGAGCACUGUUUCGGCUAGGGGGCCAUCCCGGCUUACCAACCCGAUGCAAACUGCGAAUACCGGAGAAUGUUAUCACGGGAGACACACGGCGGGUGCUAACGUCCGUCGUGAAGAGGGAAACAACCCAGACCGCCAGCUAAGGUCCCAAAGUCAUGGUUAAGUGGGAAACGAUGUGGGAAGGCCCAGACAGCCAGGAUGUUGGCUUAGAAGCAGCCAUCAUUUAAAGAAAGCGUAAUAGCUCACUGGUCGAGUCGGCCUGCGCGGAAGAUGUAACGGGGCUAAACCAUGCACCGAAGCUGCGGCAGCGACGCUGAUGCGUUGUUGGGUAGGGGAGCGUUCUGUAAGCCUGUGAAGGUGUGUCGUGAGGCAUGCUGGAGGUAUCAGAAGUGCGAAUGCUGACAUAAGUAACGAUAAAGCGGGUGAAAAGCCCGCUCGCCGGAAGACCAAGGGUUCCUGUCCAACGUUAAUCGGGGCAGGGUGAGUCGACCCCUAAGGCGAGGCCGAAAGGCGUAGUCGAUGGGAAACGGGUUAAUAUUCCCGUACUUGGUGUUACUGCGAAGGGGGGACGGAGAAGGCUAUGUUGGCCGGGCGACGGUUGUCCCGGUUUAAGCGUGUAGGUGUGUGUUCCAGGUAAAUCCGGUUCACUUUAACACUGAGGCGUGACGACGAGGCACUACGGUGCUGAAGCAACAAAUGCCCUGCUUCCAGGAAAAGCCUCUAAGCAUCAGGUAACAUCAAAUCGUACCCCAAACCGACACAGGUGGUCAGGUAGAGAAUACCAAGGCGCUUGAGAGAACUCGGGUGAAGGAACUAGGCAAAAUGGUGCCGUAACUUCGGGAGAAGGCACGCUGACAUGUAGGUGAAGUGAUUUACUCAUGGAGCUGAAGUCAGUCGAAGAUACCAGCUGGCUGCAACUGUUUAUUAAAAACACAGCACUGUGCAAACACGAAAGUGGACGUAUACGGUGUGACGCCUGCCCGGUGCCGGAAGGUUAAUUGAUGGGGUCAGCGCAAGCGAAGCUCCUGAUCGAAGCCCCGGUAAACGGCGGCCGUAACUAUAACGGUCCUAAGGUAGCGAAAUUCCUUGUCGGGUAAGUUCCGACCUGCACGAAUGGCGUAAUGAUGGCCAGGCUGUCUCCACCCGAGACUCAGUGAAAUUGAACUCGCUGUGAAGAUGCAGUGUACCCGCGGCAAGACGGAAAGACCCCGUGAACCUUUACUAUAGCUUGACACUGAACAUUGAGCCUUGAUGUGUAGGAUAGGUGGGAGGCUUUGAAGUGUGGACGCCAGUCUGCAUGGAGCCGACCUUGAAAUACCACCCUUUAAUGUUU
rnacentral:rRNA from 1 species